CCCCCUCACGUCGCAGCAGCAGCGCGAGGAGCCAGCCAUCCGGCUAAAAGGAAGACAACUAAUUAAUUCGACAGGCAUCCGGCUACGGAUGUGAAUAUACCUAAUUGGCGCUCAGCUAGUGGUAUCUAACUACCCUACCGGACAGAUCAAUAUCAACUUGAAAGUUGAAAAGUGACAGCGUCGCGGGAAAAAACGCAGCUGUCAGAUAUAAUAACCAGUGUAAAAAUAAAAGCAGUGAUGGAAACUGAUCAACAAAAGUGUUGAACAACUCGUUUGGAAAUCAGCUGUGUUGCCCGAAAUAACUCAAAGGUUGUUGCUUUGAUUUAAACAAUGUUUGUGCAACUUUUGACCAAAAACAAGUUGAGAAGACAACAAUUGUUUGACAUUAAACGCAAUAACCGAAAUUUAAGAUGCAAUGCUAACACUUUAAAUUUGCCAGAUCGCCAGUAAGUAACCAUUAUUUUGAAAUUACUUUAAUAACUGAAAGUUUUGCAGGUUUUUUCAAUCUUACCGGAUUGACAAAAGAUAUAUUUAUUUUCCUUAUUGGAAAAAUUGGACCCGACUUAGGCCAACCCUUGAUUGCCCAUGUUACCCAGCUUGCUGCAGUCCUUCGUUUCCUGGCACCCGGGUCGUACAUUUUGUGUUUUAAAUGUUGUGCGUGAAUCAGCUGCUUGGCACCAAUGUUGCAAACUUUUUACAAGUAGUGUUGGGAACCAAAGUUGCCAAAGACGAUGAAAAAGGUCCCAAAAAUGCACAAAAGGGUAUUAUAAUUUCAGUCAGAAGUUUUCAACGCGGUGAAGAAGACAUCUCCGACCCUAUAGAGUAUAUAUAUUCCUGAUCAGCAUCACUAGGUAGCAUAAAAGUCGGAACGAGCCGGAUCGGUCGACUAAAUUAUAAAGCGCCCAUAGAAACAACUAGAAAAUAAAUGAAAAAAAUGUAACUUUGCAGUUUUUAUACCCUUGCAGAGGGUAUUAUAAUUUCAGUCAGAAGUUUGCAACGCAGUGAAGGAGACAUCUCCGACCCUAUAAUGUAUAUAUACUCGUGAUCAGCAUCACUAGGAGAGUCGAUCUAGCCAUGUCCGUCUGUCCGUCCGUCCGUCCGUUUCUACGCAAACUAGUCCCUCAGUUUUAAAGCUAUCUGCAUGAAACUUUCCCAAAAGUUGUCUUUCUUUUGCAUAAGUAUAUAAGUCGGAACGAGCCAGAUUGGACGACUAUAGCAUAUAGCUCCCAUAGGAAUAGUCGGAAAAUCGGAUGAAAAUAUCAUAUCACCCAUGGCAACAAUAAAAAUAUAAAAAAUUCGUUUUUAGAUGUAAUUUUUCUAUUUUGUUUUUUUUUAUACCCUCGUAGAAGGUAUUAUAAUUUUAGUCAGAAGUUUGCAACGCAGUGAAGGAGACAUGUCCGACCCAUUAAUGUAUAUAUAUUCUUGAUCAGCAUCACUAGGAGAGUCGAUCUAGUCAUGUCCGUCUGUCCGACUGUCCGACUGUCCGUCUGUGUUAAACUUUCCCAAAAGUUGUCUUCCUUCUGCAGGUAGCAUAAAAGUCGGAACGAGCCGGAUCGGUCGACUAAGUCAUAUAGCGCCCAUAGAAAAAAUUAGAAAUGAAAAAAAUUCUAACUUUGCAGUUUUUUAUAUUUUUUUUAAUUCUUCGACAAAUAGUUAUAAUUUAUUUUUUGAAAAUUACGAUUUUAAUUUUAAUAAAUCGGAGACUAUAAAAUAAAGCUCUCAUGCGAACAACCAAACAAUAAUAAAAAAAUGUAACUUUUCUAUUUGUAUACCCUUGCAGAGGGUAUUAUAAUUUCAGUCAGAAGUUUGCAACGCAGUGAAGGAGACAUGUCCGACCCAUUAAAGUAUAUAAGUUAACUGUGGCCAGCAAAACCAAAGUUGUUGACCACAGUUUACGUAAACAUCGCGCCGGCCAAACUGCUGACACAGCGUCUGGCCGGAUGCUCGUGCAUAGCCGGCAAGCACUGCCCAUUGGAGUGGCCGCUAUGAAGUUCAAUUAUGUUAGCUUUAA